ensembl:snRNA U6 U6 spliceosomal RNA
UUGCUUCAGCAUCACUUAUACUAAAACUAGAAUGGUACAGAGAAAAUUAGCAUGGCCCCUGCACAAAAUUAGAGAUGAGAAAUGUUCUGGGUUUCA